GCUACUAGCCGUAAAACAACAUGAUGGAGUAUACACGUCGAGGGGAGGCCUGUGAGGGGAGGCGUAUGUAAGAAAUAUUUCAUUAACAAAUACUGUUUAAAAUAUUUGUAUUCACUACGACCGUAAUAAUUCGCGUCACUAAUUGGAACAGGUGUGGGCAAUGACAUUUCCUUACGAUUGAGUUUAAGCCAUAAGAUUUUUGUUAUUGUCGUUUAUAUAACUUUCCGGCUAAAUUCUUACGUAGGUAAUACCAUCUGCGGCAAAUAUACUAUAAGUCACGUCAAAAACUGUUGAUAUAAAGACAAAAUUAUAUCGAAAAAGGCUGAAACGGACAGGACUUGAACCCGGAGCUCUUGUUAAGCUGGACCGAGCAUGUACGAUUCAUGAUCAUCAUCAUACGAUUACACCAUCGUUAAUGAUACUUAUCGUUGAAUAUAACUUUUGUUAUAUUCAACGGUCCAGUUGUUAACGACAUCUGGCCAAAUACAUCGUCGAAUCAUAAAAACAUAAAAAAUAUUUAUGUAACCUAUUCCAAUGCAGAGAAUAAAGUACGUAAAUAAAACCUUUACAAAUGUGACAAUGCAUAUCAUUUUGUUAUUAUAUCACACAUCAAUACAAUGUACCCACUUCCAUCAUCCAACAUGUAUUAUUCCUCUUCAGUUUAAGUAUCUCUGUUAGUUGUUAUCUCAGUGCCACACCUUUUACACACAUAUCCUUCUUAACACAAUUCAUCCACACUUUUUUGGCUCUUCCCCUACCCCAAAUUUCACCUACCUAGUUAACUGUGCCAAAACAACUAGACACAAAAAAAUAUCUAGAAGUUAAGAAUAUUGCGAGAUUAAAGAAAUAUGGCGAGCGCGAAAUCACAAUAUCUAGUUUUCUUCACUUGCACCAUCCCACUUUAGUACCAAAUUCAAUGGCGUGCGAUUAUGUUAAAAUACUUAAUACCGCAUUCAAUAUGCAGCUUCCUACACAGUGCGAUACAUACUUAAACCAGUUACAUAUUCGCGUGUAUAUUUACCAGUCGCUAUGUGUGCCGUGACAUUUCUGUUAGUGAUAGUGAUAAGCCUUUUAACCGGCAAUGCGGAAGGCCUAUCUAAACGAAGCGUGGAUCACUUAAUUAGCUCUACAGUGCAAGGGUCAACGGUUACGUUUGGCGAACGAGCAGUCACAGAUUGUGUAGCGGCUGGCAACCCUGCAUGGAAGUGUUACACCGAACAACGCGGCUUCAAUCCUGACUGGAAAUAAAAUAUUAAUAUAUAUAUUUUUUAAUUAUUCUGACAGUUUUCAUACUUUACAACUAGUGGAGUCAAUGAAGGGUUUCAGUUAAAACUUGCCAGGGAUAGAUCCGAUUUUGAUAUAUCAUUUAAAAUCAGAAACAACUUGAGUAAAAAAAAAAAAUUACUGUUUAAAAAAAUCAUUAAAAUUGGUCCUGACCCUGGCAAAUUAGAGGUUUCUUAGGAAGCUCCGGCCUUAUUGACUCCAAUAAACCGGCCUUAUCGACUUCACACACGUAAAUAGGGUUUGACAGACCCCCAAGUUUCGAAGAGAUUUUAUGGUGACAGUUUACCACGUAUAGUAUGGUGAUGAUGAAACGUAAGGUGACUCAACUCGUGACCAGUCCAUCGCUCAAUAAUUAGUGAUCCAUCAUCUUAGAGGGAUAUGAUCAUGAGGGGCAUCCUUCUGUCGGUUUUCACGGCAUGCUGGGCAAGAUAAACAGCCGUUGCACGCGUUCUAUACUAAUUUAUUGUCAAGCAUGAAAGCGAAAAAAAAAAACCAAUAGAAAAGGUCACAAUCAAAAAGAGAGAACAACUUCGUGACCAUUAUGAAUAAGGUGAUAUUUCAACUUUUGAAACAGAACAAGAACCAAAGAAUUUAAGGUUGCCUGGAAGAAAUUUCUGCAGGAGUAAUAAUGCCGCCUGUUGUGCCUUUCUGUAUCUGUUGUCCUUAUGUCUGUAUCUUGUGUCCAUUGUGAUCAAUAAAGUAUUUUAUCUA
rnacentral:misc_RNA from 1 species